GUAAAAUACAGAUUUAUACUGCCCUUUCCACUCUAAUCAUUAUCAUCGUCAAUAAAAAGGAAUAUUUUAUAAUCACGCUAGUGUUGGAAUUUUUUAUAGCUGAUUACACCAAUCUCAACAACAAAUUUUGUGCUGAAAAAUUCAAUCGUUAUUCUAGCUUCUUCCGCUUACGAAAGAGCUACAUGAGUAUACAGAGUGAGUCAGCUAAGAGUUUCUAGUAGGUGGGCGCGUAAAGGUCACGUGAAGGUCAAGUUCGCUUUUUUAAACGAAAUCAUACAUUUUUUAAUACACUAAACAAUACAAAUCGAAAUUCUUUAUGAAAAAAAACUAUUAAUCUACUUGUGUCGAAAAACUAUUAGUUCAGCAGAUAUUCUAGCUUUUAUUUUGUAAAAUUUUUCGUAUGAAAGACAAAGGAGGACGUAAAACAGUUACUCAGGAUAGUGUCCAUGAGCUUUCACUCUUAGUUGAUUCACUCCAUAUAUAUUUAUGCAAUAUCAGGAAAAAGGGUACGAUUAACAACCUUUUAACUAAGCAUAUACUUAUUAAUUGAUACUGGAAUGAGCAAUAGAAAAAUAUUGAGAAUAUAAAAAAAGCAGAAAAACCCGUCGGGCAAGAUAUAUCUUUAAUUCAUCGAGGAAACAGAAGAAAAUAAAACCAAAAUUCUAUCGAGAAACCACAGCUUAGAAGGAUACAAUGACAAAAAUGAAAAGAAUAGAAAAAUGUGUAAAUUUGAUUCGCAAUCUUUUUUCAAUCAAUUUACAUUAUUAAAUUCAAUCCUUUUAAACAUUCUGAUAACUAUGAAAUGGCAAUCCAAAGAUUCGCUUAAUAUUUCUUCCCUCAUUAUUCCUUUCAGCAAGAUCCUGUAAUUUUAUAAAAUCAAAAAGAAUUGAAAUAUUUGUAAUAACACUAUGAUAAAUUAUUAUACUAGAUCCUUGAUUGGUCAAAGAAUUGAUCGAUUUGAAACAACUAAGACAUUCAUCGCAAAAGUGAAAAAGCCGGUAGUAAAACAACAAUAAAAGUUAUCUCCGAAUUUAAUGAGCAGAAAAAUUGAUAUACCUGAGUGGCAACAAGGCUGAAAACAUUCACACAGGUAAACCCUAUAAUAAAGCCUCGCAUAAAUAACGACCAACUAUCGAAUAGUUUAUCACAUCUUGUUAUUUAUGUGCACGUGUUAUCUUUAAGGAACAUACCCAUGCGACUAAAUACGUGUUCUAUGAUAGAAACUGCAAUAUAAAAAUCGAGAACAUCGGAGUCAACUUGUCAAAAUCGAAAGAGAGUUCAAAAGGCGUAAAGUAAACGAAUAUACUCGAUAGAAGUCACCAUGCUUGUACUUUCUCUGCUGGUUGUCACGGUUCUUGGCAUUUGACAGAAGCAUUAAAAAGAGCAGGAAGAUAUGAAGAGAAAGCCCUAGAAUCAAAAAAAGGAAUUAUUAAAGGAGUGUAUAAAGGAAAGAGAGAGAAACUGAGGAAAUGGCCAUGAAGGAAAAAGAGCAAGAAAGAGAAAGAAGAGACUAGAAGAGGUGAGAGGGGGAGGGACGCAAAUAGAGGCAAGAGAGGAGCAAGAAAGAAUGACAGCAGACCAAAUUAUAGAAGAAAGAAGAGAGAGAGAAGCAGAAGAGAGGGGGAAAAGGAUAAGGGAAUCUAAAUAUAAUAUACACUACAAAAGUAUAGCCAAAGAAAAAUUACCAAAGUACUUAGAAGGGGAGGAUGAAGUGGAAAGACAGAAGAAUACUGGCAAGAUUCAGAUGUGGAAACGAGACCAAAGCAAGGGAAUACUGGAAGGAAGAGGAUGAAAAAAGAUGCAGAUUAUGUGAAAGGAAUGAAGAAGACCUGAGACAUGUAAUAGAAGAAUGUGAAAUAACGGGAGGACCAAAGGACAUAGGAAAAGUGCUAAAUGAGACAGGAGAAGGUUUAACAGAGCUGAAAGCAAUAAUAAAGAAGAGAAGGGCAAACGACAGGAAGGAUGCACAGCAAGGAGGCUAAAGCUCAAAGUUGCAAUAGUUUUUAGUCAUUAGUAGUUAAUUUGUAGUUCCUAGUUUUAGUUUUUAGAGAAUAGGAUAACUAAAGGGUGCAAUAGAAUAGAGUGGGAAAGAGGGGAGGUAGAUAUAUAAGAAAAGAAAUAGACAUAAGAGAUGUAAAAUCGAAAGUUCGUCCAAAGCCGAAAGGCACGGACUAAACAACAAUAAAUAAAUAUAUAAUAGGACAGAAAAAAUAACUAACGUUAUAAUAAUUUCAAACAAGAAUCAUCCAAUUGUGCCAUUAGUUACGGAUCAUUCUGUAUAUUAUUUGGACUGAAACUCCUUUAUAUCCUCAAAUAUUUAUUAACUAAAUAUCCUUUUCGUAAAAAUUCAAAAAAAAGGCUUCGAUGCAAAACAGAUUGUAGGAAAAAUGAACAUGAACACAUAUGUGGAUCACUUUGCGAUCCAACUUGCGAUAGUAACGGUCAGGAACCGAAUCCUUUAUUGUGCCCUAAAAUCGUAAAUGUAUGCAGUAAACUCACUAAAGGUUAUAGGUGUGUAGAUGGCACUGUUCGAAACAAAAGGAACA
rnacentral:lncRNA from 11 species